UAGCUCUAAAUAAGAACUAGGAACUAAUCAAAAUUAAUCAGAAUCGUCUGAUCUAAGGAGGGGCGCGCGCAAGAUCAACGGCUGGGUUCUAUUCACGAAUUCUCUCUCCUCCGCGAUUUUCUCUCUCCUCCGCCCAUUUCUCUCCCAUUCUCACGGACGCCAUUUUCGUUCUCCUCAACCAUUUUCAUGCUUCCUCACCUCAAUCAACAACUCGAUUAUAUGGAAUUUGCUACAAUUUACAUACUGUUUCAACAAUUUGCUGGAUUUGUUGCAAAAUUUCUCAAUAAUUGAGCAAGGAGAUUUGAUAUUGAGGAGAGUUUUGGUUGUAAAGCAUUAGUGAUUGUGGAGGAUACUGAUGCUGCUCUUCCUACUAGCUGCAGCGUUUUUUAAGUGCCCGACUAAGCAUAUGUUGGUGAUAGGGAUUACAAGUACUCAUGAGAAAACCACGACUGCCUGUAUUUCUAUAAAGACUAUGUGUGAAGGCACAUGGGGUUGAGAAAUGGGAUGAUGAGCUCGGUUGCGUAUUAUGUAAAUGGUGAUAACAAGCUGAGUCCCCAGAAGCAAACCCUGAUGCUAUUUUGGUGCAGAAGUUGAUGACUAAGAUGCUUCACAAUAGGACUAAAGCAGUCGUGAUGGAGGCCUCAUCUAAUGAGCUGGCUCGUGGCUGUUGUGAGGAGGUUGAUUUUGAUAUUGCGGUUUUCACUAAUUUGUCAAGGGACCAUACGGAUUUUCAAGGGAUAAAAGAAGAGUAUAGGCUUGCUCAGGCUAAAUUGUUUUCUAGGAUGGUUGAUCCACACAGACACAGGAAGAUUGUCAAUGUACACAAAUGCAUCCUUCUUUAUUGCACAAGGGAACCCAAAUGUCCACGUUUUGACUUUCGCAGUUGAUAAUAAGGAUGCAGACGUUCAUCCUUUAAAGUUUGAACUUUCUUUGUUUGAGACCACUAUUUUAGUUAAUACUCCUCUAGGUAUAUUGGAGACACCAUCUUGCUUGAGAGGCAUAACAUUUAUAAUAUCCUUGCAGCAUUAUUGUAGGGAUUGUAAAAACUUAGAUCUGGCAUCUAUUAAUUCUCAAUGCUUUGAGAGAUGUGCAGUAAUCAAUCAACUCUUGAGGUACA